rnacentral:piRNA from 1 species
UGCAUUAGUUCUUGUGAGAGUAGAAUGUC